rnacentral:rRNA from 1 species
CCUACGGGAGGCUGCAGUGAGGAAUAUUGGUCAAUGGACGAGAGUCUGAACCAGCCAAGUAGCGUGAAGGAUGACUGCCCUAUGGGUUGUAAACUUCUUUUAUAUGGGAAUAAAAUGUUCCACGUGUGGGAUUUUGUAUGUACCAUAUGAAUAAGGAUCGGCUAACUCCGUGCCAGCAGCCGCGGUAAUACGGAGGAUCCGAGCGUUAUCCGGAUUUAUUUGGUUUAAAGGGAGCGUAGGUGGAUUGUUAAGUAAGUUGUGAAAGUUUGCGGCUCAACCGUAAAAUUGCAGUUGAAACUGGCAGUCUUGAGUACAGUAGAGGUGGGCGGAAUUCGUGGUGUAGCGGUGAAAUGCUUAGAUAUCACGAAGAACUCCGAUUGCGAAGGCAGCCUACUAAACUGCCACUGACAUUGAUGCUCGAAAGUGUGGGUAUCAAACAGGAUUAGAUACCCGUGUAGUC